UACAGAGGUCUCAAGCGUUGUUCGGAUUCAUUAGGCGUAAAGGGUGCGUAGGCGGCGCGGUAAGUCGGGUGUGAAAUCUCGGAGCUUAACUCCGAAACUGCAUUCGAUACUGCCGUGCUUGAGGACUGGAGAGGAGACUGGAAUUUACGGUGUAGCGGUGAAAUGCGUAGAUAUCGUAAGGAAGACCAGUGGCGAAGGCGGGUCUCUGGACAGUUCCUGACGCUGAGGCACGAAGGCCAGGGGAGCAAACGGG
rnacentral:rRNA from 1 species